rnacentral:rRNA from 1 species
AUUGAACGCUGGCGGCGUGCUUAACACAUGCAAGUCGUGCGGUAACAGGCGUAGCAAUACGUGCUGACGAGCGGCGAACGGGUGCGUAAUACAUGGGAAUCUGCCCUUUAGUGGGGAAUAACCCGGCGAAAGCCGGGCUAAUGCCGCAUAAGAUCUUCGGAUGAAAGCGGGGGAUCGUAAGACCUCGCGCUGAUGGAUGAGCCCAUGUCGGAUUAGCUAGUUGGUGAGGUAACGGCUCACCAAGGCGACGAUCCGUAGCUGGUCUGAGAGGACGGCCAGCCACACUGGGACUGAGACACGGCCCAGACUCCUACGGGAGGCAGCAGUGGGGAAUAUUGGACAAUGGGCGAAAGCCUGAUCCAGCGACGCCGCGUGUGUGAAGAAGGCCUGCGGGUU